UAAUGUUAAAUUUCUCUUCAGGUUUCUUCUUUGAGCCAUGUGUUAUUUAGAAGUGUGUUGUUUAAUCUCCGGGUAUCUUGGCAUUUUCCAGCUACCUUUCUAUUAUUCAUUUCUAGUUUAAUUCUACUAUGGUCAGAGAGCAGACAUUGUAUGAUUUCUGUACCUUGAUAUUUGUUGAGUGUAUUUUAUGGCCCAGAAUGUGUUCUAUCUUGGUGAAUGUUCCAUAUGACCUUAAGAAGAACAUGUAUUGUACUGUUGUUGGAUAAAGUUGUCCAUAGAUAUCAAUUAUAUUUAUUUCAUCGAUGGUGCUACUGAGUUCAGAUAUGUUCUUAUUUAUUUUCUGCCUGCCAAAUCUGUCUAUUUCUGAUAGAGGAGUGUCAAAAUCUCUUAACUACAAUAGGAGAGUCCUCCAUUUCUCUUUGCAGUUCUAUCAGUUUUUGCCUCAUGUAUUUUUACACUAUGUUGUUAGGCACAAACAUGUUAAGGAUUGUCAUGUCUUUUUGUAGUAGUGACAUUAUUAUUAUUAUCUAAUAUCCCUCUCUGUUCCUGAUUAACUUUCCUUGAUCUGAAGUCUGCUUUAUCUGAAGUUAAUAAAGCUAAUACCCUUUCUUUUGAUUAGUGUUUG
rnacentral:lncRNA from 10 species